UUAACUCAGGUCUUCUCAGGUCAGGUUUUUCCUCUUUUAUAACCUGAUUUUCAUGGCUUUGUGGGCUCAAAUGAGAGAGGUCCAAGUCCAAGAUUUUUCUAUUAUAUUUUAUUUAUCUAUUUAUUUAUUUAUUUGUUUUUUUUUUCAUUUUUUUUUUUCAUUUUUUUUUCGUUUUUUUUUCGUAACACGUGGGCUUCGCCUAGCGAGCAUGACAGUUCAUGAACAAACUUUUGCUCCUUCAAGAUUAACGUUUUGACUGACGAAUAGACCUCUGUUGGAAGUAACUCAAGUCUUUCCAUUGUGUUGACUGAUCAUCUAAAUAGAACCCACAAAGUGUCUUGGAUGAUGUUCAAGCUUCUUG
rnacentral:lncRNA from 1 species